rnacentral:misc_RNA from 1 species
CGAAACCUGCNNNNNNNAACGACCCGNGAACUUGAAACUAAAUUGAGGGAACACGGGAUGGGCCAUCGGCUUGUUCGGUGUCUCCUCUCUGCUAGGGGUGAGCAUGUUGUCUUCCGUGGCACAUGUUCACUUUCCUAGCGGAACAACGAACUCCGGCGUGAUCUGCGCCAAGGAAAUUUAACAAAGAGAUCACGCUUCUAUGCUCCCGUUUGCGGGUUGCGGAAAGCGGUAGAUUCUUCCAUAUAA